AGAACACGUCAUCAGAAGUCACUGCCUGCUGCGAAUAACAGCGCAUCGUGUAUGACAAUCUCUUCACCAACAAGUGCUACCCCCUCUUGUCCAUCGUCACAUGAAGAACAUGGACAGCCGCAAGCUGGAAAUGAUUUCUCAACAGCAGAGAAGAACGAUACUAUCACGUUCACACCCUUGACACAGACUUGCGUCAUAGUGACAUUUGCGAAUAGCUGCCCCUGCAGUAUAAAAUUUAUUUUA